rnacentral:rRNA from 1 species
AACGAACGCUGGCGGCAGGCUUAACACAUGCAAGUCGAGCGGGGAAAGGUAGCUUGCUACCUGACCUAGCGGCGGACGGGUGAGUAAUGCUUAGGAAUCUGCCUAUUAGUGGGGGACAACAUUCCGAAAGGAAUGCUAAUACCGCAUACGCCCUACGGGGGAAAGCAGGGGCUCUUAGGACCUUGCGCUAAUAGAUGAGCCUAAGUCAGAUUAGCUAGUUGGUGGGGUAAAGGCCUACCAAGGCGACGAUCUGUAGCGGGUCUGAGAGGAUGAUCCGCCACACUGGGACUGAGACACGGCCCAGACUCCUACGGGAGGCAGCAGUGGGGAAUAUUGGACAAUGGGCGAAAGCCUGAUCCAGCCAUGCCGCGUGUGUGAAGAAGGCCUUUUGGUUGUAAAGCACUUUAAGCGAGGAGGAGGCUACUUGGAUUAAUACUCUAGGAUAGUGGACGUUACUCGCAGAAUAAGCACCGGCUAACUCUGUGCCAGCCGCCGCCGUAAUAC